rnacentral:rRNA from 1 species
UACGUAGGGGGCGAGCGUUGUCCGGAUUUAUUGGGCGUAAAGAGCUCGUAGGCGGUUUGGUAAGUUGGAUGUGAAAUCUCCAGGCUCAACUUGGAGGGGUCAUUCGAUACUGCCAUGACUAGAGUUCGGUAGGGGAGUGUGGAAUUCCUGGUGGAGCGGUGAAAUGCGCAGAUAUCAGGAGGAACACCGGUGGCGAAGGCGGGUCUCUGGGCAGUAACUGACGCUGAGGAGCGAAAGCGUGGGUAGCGAACAGG